UACAGGGGGGGGCAAGCGUUGUUCGGAAUUACUGGGCGUAAAGGGUUCGUAGGUGGCCACCUAAGUCAGACGUGAAAUCCCUCAGCUUAACUGGGGAACUGCGUCUGAUACUGGGUGGCUUGAGUGCAGGAGAGGAAUGCGGAAUUCCAGGUGUAGCGGUGAAAUGCGUAGAUAUCUGGAGGAACACCGGUGGCGAAGGCGGCAUUCUGGACUGUAACUGACACUGAGGAACGAAAGCCAGGGGAGCAAACGGG
rnacentral:rRNA from 1 species